rnacentral:rRNA from 1 species
AGAGUUUGAUCAUGGCUCAGGAUGAACGCUGGCGGCGUGCUUAACACAUGCAAGUCGAACGGUGAAGCCCAGCUUGCUGGGUGGAUCAGUGGCGAACGGGUGAGUAACACGUGAGCAAUCUGCCCCUGACUCUGGGAUAAGCGCUGGAAACGGCGUCUAAUACUGGAUAUGAACCGUGGAGGCAUCUUCAACGGUUGGAAAGAUUUUUUGGUCAGGGAUGAGCUCGCGGCCUAUCAGCUUGUUGGUGAGGUAAUGGCUCACCAAGGCGUCGACGGGUAGCCGGCCUGAGAGGGUGACCGGCCACACUGGGACUGAGACACGGCCCAGACUCCUACGGGAGGCAGCAGUGGGGAAUAUUGCACAAUGGGCGCAAGCCUGAUGCAGCAACGCCGCGUGAGGGAUGACGGCCUUCGGGUUGUAAACCUCUUUUAGCAGGGAAGAAGCGAAAGUGACGGUACCUGCAGAAAAAGCGCCGGCUAACUACGUGCCAGCAGCCGCGGUAAUACGUAGGGCGCAAGCGUUAUCCGGAAUUAUUGGGCGUAAAGAGCUCGUAGGCGGUUUGUCGCGUCUGCUGUGAAAUCCCGAGGCUCAACCUCGGGUCUGCAGUGGGUACGGGCAGACUAGAGUGCGGUAGGGGAGAUUGGAAUUCCUGGUGUAGCGGUGGAAUGCGCAGAUAUCAGGAGGAACACCGAUGGCGAAGGCAGAUCUCUGGGCCGUAACUGACGCUGAGGAGCGAAAGGGUGGGGAGCAAACAGGCUUAGAUACCCUGGUAGUCCACCCCGUAAACGUUGGGAACUAGUUGUGGGGUCCAUUCCACGGAUUCCGUGACGCAGCUAACGCAUUAAAUUCCCCGCCUGGGGAGUACGGCCGCAAGGCUAAAACUCAAAGGAAUUGACGGGGACCCGCACAAGCGGCGGAGCAUGCGGAUUAACUCGAUGCAACGCGAAGAACCUUACCAAGGCUUGACAUAUACGAGAACGCUGCAGAAAUGUAGAACUCUUUGGACACUCGUAAACAGGUGGUGCAUGGUUGUCGUCAGCUCGUGUCGUGAGAUGUUGGGUUAAGUCCCGCAACGAGCGCAACCCUCGUUCCAUGUUGCCAGCACGUAAUGGUGGGGACUCAUGGGAUACUGCCGGGGUCAACUCGGAGGAAGGUGGGGAUGACGUCAAAUCAUCAUGCCCCUUAUGUCUUGGGCUUCACGCAUGCUACAAUGGCCGGUACAAAGGGCUGCAAUACCGUAAGGUGGAGCGAAUCCCAAAAAGCCGGUCCCAGUUCGGAUUGAGGUCUGCAACUCGACCUCAUGAAGUCGGAGUCGCUAGUAAUCGCAGAUCAGCAACGCUGCGGUGAAUACGUUCCCGGGUCUUGUACACACCGCCCGUCAAGUCAUGAAAGUCGGUAACACCUGAAGCCGGUGGCCCAACCCUUGUGGAGGGAGCCGUCGAAGGUGGGAUCGGUAAUUAGGACUAAGUCGUAACAAGGUAACCGUAAGUCGUAACAAGG